rnacentral:rRNA from 1 species
GACGAACGCUGGCGGCGUGCCUAAUACAUGCAAGUAGAACGCUGAAGAGAGGAGCUUGCUCUUCUUGGAUGAGUUGCGAACGGGUGAGUAACGCGUAGGUAACCUGCCUUGUAGCGGGGGAUCACUAUUGGAAACGAUAGCUAAUACCGCAUAACAAUGGAUGACACAUGUCAUUUAUUUGAAAGGGGCAAUUGCUCCACUACAAGAUGGACCUGCGUUGUAUUAGCUAGUAGGUGAGGUAAUGGCUCACCUAGGCGACGAUACAUAGCCGACCUGAGAGGGUGAGCGGCCACACUGGGACUGAGACACGGCCCAGACUCCUACGGGAGGCAGCAGGAGGGAAUCUUCGGCAAGGGGGGCAACCCUGACCGAGCAACGCCGCGUGAGUGAAGAAGGUUUUCGGAUCGGAAAGCUCUGUUGUAAGUCAAGAACGGGUGUGAGAGUGGAAAGUUCACACUGUGACGGUAGCUUACCAGAAAGGGACGGCUAACUACGUG